UAGAACGCUCGUAGUCGAAUGUCUGUUCACACGGAGCGGUCCUCCCAAGUGGUGCGUACACAGCUCUGUCUGAACACUUCUCUGACGUGAGCGUUGGCAGUUUGAUCUGUUGCGCAUUACCCAGAUCGUUUACUUUGAGGAAAUGAGAGUGCUUCAAGCAGAUAAACGUUAUGAAUACGUUAGCAUGGAAUAAUUACAUGGGACACGUAUUUGAUUUUGUGGGCUUUCAAAUAGGUGUAAUGACAGUUGGGAUAGUUGGGGGCACUCGUAUUUAACUGCUAGAGGCGAAAUUCUUGGAUUUUUUAAAGAUGGACUACUGCGAAAGCAUUUGCCAAAGAUGUUUUUGUCGAUCAAGAACGAAAGUUAGGGGAUCGAAGACGAUCAGAUACCGUCCUAGUCUUAACCAUAAACUAUGCCACCUAGGGAUUGGAGUCAACAGAAUUUUGAUGACUUCAGCAUCUUCAGAGAAAUCAAAGUUCUUGGGUUCCGGGGGGAGUAUGGUCACAAGGCUGAAACUUAAAGGAAUUGACGGAAGGGCACCACCAGGAGUGGAGCCUGCGGCUUAAUUUGACUCAACA
rnacentral:rRNA from 1 species